rnacentral:lncRNA from 1 species
GAUCAGAUUAACGAUCUAAACAGUCCCAUAUCCCCUAAAGAAAUAGAAACAGUCAUUAAUAGUCUCCCAAACAAACAAAAAAAAAAGCCCAGGACCAGAUGGGUUUAGUGCAGAGUUCUAUCAGACCUUCAAAGAAGACCUAAUUCCAACUCUUCUCAAACUAUUCCACAAAAUAGAAACAGAAGGUACUCUACUCAAUUCAUGAUAUGAAGCCACAAUUACUCUGAUACCUAAAUGGCACAGAGAUCCAACAAAGAAAGAGAACUUCAGGUCAAUUUCCUUUAUGGAUAUCAAUGCAAAAGUACUCAAUAAAUGUCUAGCAAACUGCAUCCAAGAACACAUCAAAACGAUCGUCCAUCAUGAUCAAGUAGGCUUCAUCUCAGGGAUGCAGGGACAGUUCAACAUAUGAAAAUCCAUCAAUGUAAUCCACUUUAUAAACAAACUCAAAGAAAAAAAUGAUAUGAUCAUCUCAUUAGAUGCUGAGAAAUCAUUUGACAAAAUCCAACACCCCUUCAUGAUAAAAGUCUAAGAAAUAUCAGGAAUUCAAGGCCCAUACAUAAACAUAGUAAAAGAAAAUAUAUCAAAUCAGUACCCAACAUAAAAAUAAAUGAAGAGAAACUUGAAGCAAUCCCACUAAAAUCAGGCACUAGACAAGGCUGUCCACUGUCUUCCUACAUAUUCCAUAAAGUACUUGAAGUCCUAGCCAGAGCAAUUAGAAAGCAACAGUAGAUCAAAGGGAUACAAAGUGGAAAGGAAGAAGUAAAAAUAUCAGUAUUUGCAGAUGAUAUGAUAGCAUAUAUAAGUGACCCCAAAUAUUCCACCAGAGAACUCCUAACUUCAGCAAAGUAGCUGGAUUUAAAAAUUAAUUCAAACAAAUCAGUGGCCUUUUUCUAUACAAUGGAUAAACAGGCUGAGAAAGAAAUUAGGGAAAGAACCCCCUUCAAAAUAGUCACAAAUAAUAUAAAAUACCUUGGUGUGACUCUAACUAAGGAAGUGAAAGAUCUGUAUGAUAAGAACUUCAAGUCUCUGAAGAAAGAAAUCAAAGAAGAUCUCAGAAGAUGGAAAGAUCUCCCAAGCUCAUGUACUGGCAGGAUUAAUAUAGUUAAAAUGGCCAUCUUGCCAAAAGCAAUUACAGAUUCAAUGCAAUCCCUGUCAGAAUUCCAACUCAAUAAUUCACACAGUUAGAAAGGGCAAUUUGGAAAUUCAUCUGGUAAAACAAAAAACCUAGGAUAGAAAAAACUAUUCUCAACAAUAAAAGAACCUCUGGUGGAAUCACCAUCCCUGACCUCAAGCUGUACUACAGAGCAAUUGUGAGUAAAAACUGCAUGGUACUGGUACAGUGACAGACAGGUAGAUCAAUGGAAUAGAAUUGAAGACCCAGGAAUGAACCCACACACCUAUGGUCACUUGAUCUUUGACAAAGGUGCUAAAAUCAUCCAGUGGAAAAAAGACAGCAUUUUCAAUAAAUGGUACUUGCUCAACUGGCAAUUAUCAUAUAAAAGAAGGUGAGUAGAUCCAUUCUUAUCUCCUUGUACAAAGCUCAAGUACAAGUGGAUCAAGGACCUCCACAUAAAACCAGAGACACCGACACACGCUGGCAAGGUUGUGGAGAAAGAACAGUCCUCCAUUGCUGGCCGAAUUGCAAGCUGGUAAUAUCAUUCUUGUUAUUAAUUUGGCGGUACCUUAGAAAAUUGGACAUUAUACUAACUGAGGAUCCACCAACACCACUUCUGGUCAUAUACCCAGAGGAGAAAGUAGGGAAGAGCCUUGAAGAUAUGGACACAGGAGAAAAAUUCCUGAACAGAACACCAAUGGCUUGUGCUGUAAGGUCAACAAUUGCCAAAUAGGACCUGAUAAAAUUGCAAAGCUUCUGUAAGGCAAAGGACACUGUCAGUAAGACAAAAAGGCAACCAACAGAUUGGGGAAAGAUCUUUACCAAUCCUAAAUCUGAUAGAGGGCUAAUAUCCACGAUAUAUGAAGAACUGAAGAAGUUAGACUCCAGAAAACCAAAUAACCCAAUUUAAAAAUGGAGUACAGAGCUAUACAAAGAAUUAUGAACUGAGGAAUAUCGAAUGGCUGAGAAGUACCUAAGGAAAUGUUCAACAUUCUUAGUCAUCAGCAACAUGCAAAUCAAAACAACCCUGAGAUUCCAGCUCACACUAGCCAGAAUGGCUAAGAUCAAAAACACAGGUGACAGGAGAUGAUGGCAAGUUUGUGGAGAAAGAAUAGUCCUCCAUUGCUGGUCAAAUUGCAAGCUGGUAAUAUCAUUCUGGAUAUUAAUUUGGUGGUACCUUAGAAAAUUGGGCAUAAUACUAACUGGGGAUCCACCAACACCACUCCUAGGCAUAUACCCAGAAGAUGCUCCAACAUGUAAUAAUGACACAUGCUCCAGUAUGUUCAUUGCAGCCUUAUUUAUAAUAGCCAGGAUCUGGAAAGAACCCAGAUGUCCCUCAACAGAGGAAUGGAUAUAGAAAUUGUGGUAUAUUUGCACAAGGAGCACUACUCAGUUAUUAAAAACAAUGAAUUUAUGAAAUUCUUAGGCUAACAGAUGGAACUAGAAAAUGUCAUACUGAGUGAGGUAACCCAAUCAUCAAAGAACACACAUGGUAUGCACUCACUGGUAUGUGGAUAUUAGCCCAGAAGCUCAGAAAACCCAAGAUACAAUUCACAAAACACAUGAAACUCAAGAGCAAGGAAAACCACAGUGUGAAUUCUUCUCAGAAGGGGAACAAAAUACCCAUGAAAGGAGUUAUACAGACAACAUGUGGAGCAGAGAUUGAAGGAAUGACCAUCCAGAGACUGCCCAACUUGAGGGAUCCCAUAUACAACCACCAAACCCAGACACUAUUGUGAAUGCCAACAAGAGCUUGCUGACAGGAGCCUCAUGUAGUUUUCUCCUGAGAGGCUCUACCAGUGCCUGAAAAAUACAGAAGUGGAUGCUCACAGCCAUCCAUUAGACUGAGCACAGGUUCCCCAAUAAAGGAGCUAGUCAACGUACCUAAGGAGCUGAAGGACGUUUGCAGCCCUAUAGGAGGAACAACAAUAUGAACUAACCAGUACCCCCAGAGUUCCCUGGGACUAAACCACCAAUGGAAGAAAACACAUGGUGGGACUCAUGGCUCCAGCUGCAUAUGUAGCAGAGGAUGGCCUAGUUGGUCAUUAGUGGGUGGAGAGGCCCUUGGUCCUGUGAGGUUCUAUGCCCCAGUAAAGGGGAAGGCCAGGGCCAUAAAGGGGGAGUGGGGGGUUAAUGAGCAGGGGUAGGGGGUAGGUAAUAGGGGGUUUUGGAGGCAAAUCCAGAAAAGGUGAUAACAUUUGAAAUGUAAAUAAAGAAAAUAUCU